UUUUCAUUUGGCGCACAAUUUUUGGCCCCUCACCACCAAAAAGCAAAACACCCAUUCUCUCUCUCCAAACCCAGAACCCACUCACGCGAAACCUUCCUUCAUCAGCCCAGAACACACUCACGCCGUCGAUUCAUUCACGAUGUCAAACCUUCCCCGUCGAUUCACUCACUCAUGUUGUCGAACCUUCCUUCCUUCGAUUCACUCACGCCGUCGAACCCCUAACCCAGCCACACAUUCUUCUCCCUUCAUCAGCCCAGAACACAUACUCUUCACCAUCGAUUCAUCGAUUUGCCACUGGAAAGUGAAAACACGAUCGAUUCAGAUUUACCUCCGAUUCACCACUUGAAUAGAAAUAAGAAACAACUGAAAGAAAGAACGAACAAAACUCAUUCUCCGUCAAACUCAUCCCUUCGUCAUCUCACCACCAUCGUCCCUAUCUUCAUUUGUAUCUGGUGUCCCUUGUUCUGGUGCCAAUGGAUACAUAAAUGGGUUCAAUCACAUAUAUACAGACCAGGGCAAGCUAUGAUGUUAUGGAAGUGUAUGUACGGAAACAAUAUUUGGGUGCAUCAUACUGAUGUUGGAAGGUUUUAACAAAGAUUUCAAGAAGAUGUUGAGUGAAAAUGCAGAUUUCAAGGCACUUGCUGUGAAAGAAAUUCACACGGCUUCUGAUGGAACUAGGAAGGUUGAAAUUAUCCUUCUCUAUUGUUUUUUUCUAGUUCUAAAUAUAUAUUUUGAAUCUUAUAGCCCACCUAGAAAUGCAUGCAAACUUCACAGUUACUUUAUAAUAUUUAGUGUUUGUUUGGUUUCAUGCUUAGAGCAUCCAGAAUUGAUUGUAGUUGUGUAGAAUUGAUUAUGAUAUGUUUGGUAGCUCUCAAGUAGAAUUGUUUAUGCUUUUCAAAAUUGAUUCAGAAUUACAAUAUAUAUAUAUAUAUAUAUAUAUAUAUAUAUAUAUAUAUAUAUAUAUAUAGAUAUAUAUACUCACUUUAAAAUUGCAUAAGAAAAUAUAUUAGAUACACUCUCUUAUUGAAUCAAUCUUGAAGAACUUCCACCAAUUCUUUAGAGAACUUCUUGCUAAACAUCAUGAAUCUGCCUCUGUUGGUCUCAUCCCACCUGUUACUUGCUUUGUUUCUGAGUGUUACAUGCCAUUUACAAUAGAAUCUGCUGAAGAACAUGCACUCCCCAUUGUUCUCUAUUCUCCAUGUAGUGUAGGUUAAUUCUUGUCUUCUUGUUACGUUUCAAAAUUGUUUCAGACUGGUGAACUACCACUCAAAGUUAAUUAUUUAUGAUCAUUAUUAUUUUUACAUCCGUUUUGAAAUUCGAAUACACAAUUUCGAUUUAUAAACUUUUUUAAUCAAGAUACGUAGAUACGAGUUAUAAAACAAAUGAAUAUUUGGACACUAAAGCUGACUGGAUCCGGGUUUUAAAAACUUUAGAUUGAAGGAAACUACUACUUUAAUAAGCUAGGAUAACAGAUCCAAAUGAUUUGUAUGUAAAAUUUUCCACUGAAGUGAGAGAUAAAUGUCACGCGGCCUCUGCGAUGAUUUUGAAUACUUCUAAUGAACUUGAGAAUGAUAUUAUGAAUGCUCUCAAUUCUAUAUUUCCUUCUCUAUACACCGUUGGGCCAGUUGCUUCGAUUUUAAGUCAAAGUCCACAUAAUCAUUUGGAACAUUUAGAUUCUAAUCUAUGGAAAGAAGAUACUAAAUGUCUUGAAUGGCUUGAAUUAAAAGAAGCAGGAUCUGUUGUUUUUGUAAAUUUUGGAAGCAUCACGGUUAUGUCUGGAGAGAAACUAUUAGAGUUUGGGUGGGGUUUGGCCAACAAUAAGAAACCAUUUUUCAGAUAGAGGCCUAAUAGCAAGCUGGUGUCCACAAGAGAUUGUUUUGAACCAUCCUUCAAUUGGUGGAUUCUUGACUGUCUUGCUUGGAGAGCUUUUACUACAUAUUGGAAGUGUUUUCAAUUAUAUGUUCUUUAGUGAUUGACCUUGACGGUGAAUAUAGGUACUGUUGGAGCUGAAAGUAUUUAUUCAGAGUCAAGAGUGAGUCCAUGGAGUCAUGCUCUAAAGGCAAAGUUGAUGUCUAUAUUCUGCCGGUCUAUUGCAGCAGCAAACAGUUUCACAUCAAACUUGCAGUGCAUUUUUGGUUGCGUUUAUGGUAAAGGUACCACAUCAAGGUUGAAGCAAUUGGAAAUGGAAUUUACUGUGUGGGCAUUGAAGCAUGAAAAAAUUGAUCAGCUCAAGUUAAUGGGUCCUAUUAUUUUGAGUGGAAUUACAAAGUCUCUUGACAAUUAAUCUAUUUCAGAAACAGGAGAAGUUAACAUAAGCUCUAACUGAAGAAGAGAGACAAGACCCUAGUCCUACGGACAUAUUACUCGAGGCUCUAAAUCUUCCAAGCUACUCUGGGCGUGUUAGGAGUUAUGAUUUUGGGGUAUGUUCUAGUUGGAAUGCAUGCAUGCAUCUAUAAAUUUGGCUAUGCAAAUGCCCUCUUUUUUUAAGUACACUAAAUGUCCUCUAUAUAUGUUAUGAUAUUUAAACAAGUGGAUUUGGUUAAAAAUGUCAUUUGGUAUAGAUGGAUCAUAAUAUGUAUGCAAUGAGUAACUUAAAACAUUAUUUGGUAUUGAAUUGAAUGUAGCUUUUUGAUAUUUGCACACCAAAAGAAUGAUUGUGUUAAAAAAAAGGUACUACAAUAGCGUUUUGUAAUGAGUGCUAUUAAUGGAACAUCCAAUAAUAGCACUUUUUAAAAAAGUGCUAUCAAACAUGUGCCAUAUGUUAGCGCUUUUUUUAAAAGUGCUAUCAAACAUGUGCCAUAUAUUAGCGUUUUGUUUAAAAGUGCUAUCAUACAUGUGCACUAUAAUAGCGCUUAAUUUGAAAGUGCUAUCAAAAUCAAAUAAAAAACACGCAAAAUGCCCACUUCAGUAGCGCUUAAGGAAAAACGCUAUUAAAAACCGGUACUUUAAUAGCACUUUUAAAGCGCUAUUAAACAAAAAACAUUUACAAUA